GUUGUUCUUCGAUGGAGAUGUUCUAUUUCGGGGUUUUUAUUCACUACUGCGUUGCUGGACGUGUUUAUAUUUUUGAGCGAUAUUAGUUAGAGUACAUCUGGCGUCAACCACCACUUUCUUUCUGGCAACUCUUCAAAGGAAACACAAGUCUACACUUCAAAACUGGUUGUCAAAAAAGGCAAUAAGAGAAAGGAAGAUGAAGGGAUGUAUAUGGGAGAAGAGAGAGAUACGGACGAUUGGACGGCCGGGAGUAUCACCGGCAGCUGCACGUUGACGGGGUAACGAAGCACAAAUCCUGCGCAUCACUGCUCGUCCGCAUUCAGGAUUCAAGGUUAAUGUCAUAUAAUACAGUCAUUGAAAUCCAUUAGUGGAAAUCCCUUUUCCUCUCUCUCUCUCUCUCAAUUGUUGUUCGCAGCUCCGUGUGCUUGAAAUACUUUGCCAUUCGUUUUUUUUUUCUUCAAAAAUCAUUUUCUUUUAUUAUCUUUUUCGACUGAUAAUGACUUGACGUUAACGACAUCGGUUACGAGAAACUCAAAUGGAUUUCGGAAGAUGGGACCGACGCUUCUUGGCCUCUUUACGUAUGGCGGAGCCUCUUCCAUUCAGUUGUCUGGUCUUGCAGCUCAAACAUUCCGUCGUGUAUAUUCUCUUCUUCUUCUUUUUGCGUCGUUACUGUUAAAUUAUAUGUUUUAUCGCAUUUAUAUCUGGCGGGAGUCGAAUGCGUGAAACACUCCCACAUUCGCUUGUCGAUCUCAAGCUGACUGAAAGUGUGCUUUCAGCUAUAUAGUAAAAACACAUUUCACAA